rnacentral:rRNA from 1 species
UGGGUGAUCUGCCUCGCACUCUGGGAUAAGCCUGGGAAACUGGGUCUAAUACCGGAUAUGACCACGAAUCGCAUGGUUUGUGGUGGAAAGGUUUACUGGUGCGAGAUGGGCCCGCGGCCUAUCAGCUUGUUGGUGGGGUAACGGCCUACCAAGGCGACGACGGGUAGCCGGCCUGAGAGGGCGACCGGCCACACUGGGACUGAGACACGGCCCAGACUCCUACGGGAGGCAGCAGUGGGGAAUAUUGCACAAUGGGCGAAAGCCUGAUGCAGCGACGCCGCGUGAGGGAUGACGGCCUUCGGGUUGUAAACCUCUUUCGACAGGGACGAAGCGCAAGUGACGGUACCUGUAGAAGAAGCACCGGCCAACUACGUGCCAGCAGCCGCGGUAAUACGUAGGGUGCGAGCGUUGUCCGGAAUUACUGGGCGUAAAGAGCUUGUAGGCGGUCUGUCGCGUCGAUCGUGAAAACGUGCAGCUCAACUGCGCGCCUGCGGUCGAUACGGGCAGACUAGAGUACUUCAGGGGAGACUGGAAUUCCUGGUGUAGCGGUGAAAUGCGCAGAUAUCAGGAGGAACACCGGUGGCGAAGGCGGGUCUCUGGGAAGUAACUGACGCUGAGAAGCGAAAGCGUGGGUAGCGAACAGGAUUAGAUACCCUGGUAGUCCACGCCGUAAACGGUGGGUACUAGGUGUGGGUUUCCUUCCACGGGAUCCGUGCCGUAGCUAACGCAUUAAGUACCCCGC